rnacentral:rRNA from 1 species
AACCCAAAGGACUUGACGGUGUCCCACCCAACUAGAGGAGCCUGUUCUAUAAUCGAUGAUCCACGAUACACCAAACCAUUUCUCGCCACUCAGCCUGUAUACCUCCGUCGUAAGCUUACCGUAUGAACGCACACACUAGUAGGCCUAAGGACCUUAACGUCACAACGUCAGGUCAAGGUGCAGCUAAUGAAAUGGAAGCAAUGGGCUACAAUUUCUAAAUUAGAACAAACGAAAUACUACAUGAAACAUAGUCAUGAAGGAGGAUUUAGCAGUAAGUAGGAAAUAGAGAGUCCUACUAAACAUGGCCCUGGGAUGUGUACAAACCGCCCGUCACCCUCUUCGAUAG